rnacentral:lncRNA from 1 species
AAAGAAAAGCACGGAAUAUGUUAAUAAACAGACAAAAGCCAACAAAUAAAUAAUAAACUAAUAAACCCUUCAAGCAACUCAAUGCAUAUUGGGAAUGAGCACCCUUCCUUAAGGACACGGCAAGGAACACAGACGCUAGGGCCUAGGCUUUGUGGGACUUACUAUCUAAUCCCCUUUCCACUCAAACACUGAUUGUUUGGGGAUUGUGAUCGCUUACUCCUUGAUGAUAAAGACCAUAAGCCUAAAUUACGGAAAAAAUAGGAAACUACAGAGAAAGAAAAUGGAGAAGAAAGUCAUGUCUUAUUUUUUCA